rnacentral:misc_RNA from 1 species
AACGCACCUUGCACCUUUUGGUAUUCCGAAAGGUAUGCCUGUUUGAGUGUCUUGGAGAAACACAUUCCUAAGGAUUUGUUAAUCCUUCCGAAUGGACGUGGGAGUCGCCUUGAUUCCAAGAGGCCCUCCUGAAAUGCCUGAGUGGGAAUUCCUAUUGCACUCGCUGAACGUAAUAAGUUUCGUUCGAGCAACUGCUAGGCCUGCUUACAACCCCAGGUUGCAAUAUACCUUUUAAGACUAGACCUCAAAUCAGGUAGGACUACCCGCUGAACUUAA